rnacentral:lncRNA from 1 species
UAUUAGUAGGAUGAAUAAAUACUGGUAAGUAUUUUGAUGUCCUGCCAGUGGGGCAGUUAAAUAUGAUAAUUAUUUUGAUACCCUAUCAGUGGGGAUUAUGUACUAGUAUUUUGAUACCCUACCAGUGGAGCGGUUAAAUGCUGGUGAUUAUUUUGAUAUCUUGUUAGUGGGGGUCAUACGUUGGUACUUUGAUUUAGUUUAUGAUCGUCGAGAUACGCACAGUAUUUUGAAAAAAAAUUGAAUUAUGAAUGAAAAUAAAUUUGAAAAUAAAUUUUUAAAAGACUGAAUUUGCAUGGAUCUAUUAAUAUUGUAUAUUUUGAAUUGAUAUACCUUGCAUGCUUAUUUUUAGUAUAUUAUUAUUAUUGAAUUUAUCUAGCUAAAAUGUAUAUUACUUACUAGGCCGUGUAGCUCAUUAUUAUAUUUUACUAUUUUUAUAGAUUAAGAGAUCUAGUUUGAUUUGGAGAUUCGAUGUUGUAGAAUGAACUAGAGACAGACUCUGAUAUUUUAUUUUAGAUUAAGAUUUAUUAAAAAUUAAUAGAAGACCAUGAAACUUUAUUUUAUAAGAUAUUUGAUUUAGUUAUUUGAAAUAAAGUUGAACAUUAAUUAUUUAAAUUUUAUUCUAUUAUUAUUUUAUGAUAUCAUGAUGAGAUAUCUUGCAUAUUUGUGGGAAGAUUUCUCUAUAGGUAUGUGAUGGUUGUCGUGAUCUUCGGCUCGUGAUCUCGGAUCGGGGGUAUGAUAGUAUAAAGAAUAGAUUGAAAGAAGGAUGGAUGAGGUAGAGGACGGAUGGAUCUUUUAUUUAUCUUUUCAUAUAUUUGAUGAAAUAUAAAAUAAUGGAUAGAAAUGAUUUUCUCCUCUAUUUGGUAUAGGAGGAAUGAAAGGAA